UGGAAAGCGUGUUCACAUACUGCCUAUAGAUGACACAAUUGAAGGGGUCACUGGAAAUCUCUUUGAUGCAUACUUGAAGCCUUAUUUCCUGGAGGCAUAUCGCCCAGUCAGGAAGGGUGAUCUCUUCCUUGUGAGGGGGGGAAUGAGAAGCGUGGAGUUCAAGGUUAUUGAGACUGACCCUGCAGAGUACUGUGUGGUUGCCCCAGACACUGAGAUUUUCUGUGAGGGGGAGCCUGUGAGGAGGGAAGAUGAAAAUAGAUUGGAUGAAGUUGGCUAUGAUGAUGUUGGUGGUGUUAGAAAACAGAUGGCUCAGAUUCGGGAGUUGGUGGAGCUUCCACUGAGACAUCCACAGCUAUUCAAAUCAAUUGGUGUGAAGCCGCCAAAAGGAAUUCUACUUUAUGGACCUCCUGGUUCUGGGAAGACUCUAAUUGCCCGGGCCGUUGCCAAUGAAACUGGUGCUUUUUUCUUCUGUAUUAAUGGACCUGAGAUCAUGUCCAAAUUGGCUGGGGAGAGUGAAAGCAAUCUCAGAAAAGCUUUUGAGGAAGCAGAGAAGAAUGCACCAUCCAUUAUUUUUAUUGAUGAGAUUGAUUCAAUU
rnacentral:misc_RNA from 1 species